rnacentral:lncRNA from 1 species
ACUUUGACCUUUAUCUGCUAAUCUACCAACCUGAGGAUCUAUAGGUACUUUAACUAAAAAUGGCACCUUUACCAUUUCUGAAAGCGCUACUCCUCCACCUGAUGAAAAUAUAUUUGUACAUUCCUAAAUAAAAGAAGAAUUCCAGUUUUCCUACAAAAUGUAACUUCUCUCAAGACAUCGUCAACUGCAACUGCUUGUGGAGUUGUAACUAGAAUUGCACCAUCGCAUUUGACAUUUCUGAAAUUAGCUUUUACUGACAUGAAAUUUGUAUAAAUAAUGUAUAAAUGUUGGUAAUGAAUUCUUAAAGUAUAUAAGAUACCAUCAAAA